GCGCCGGUUGUGUAAUGCGCAACAGCGCUGCCAGGGAAGCAGAAGGUGCGGGUUCGAGUCCCGCCUGGCGCA
rnacentral:tRNA from 1 species